GAUGAACGCUGGCGGCGUGCCUAAUACAUGCAAGUCGAGCGAACGGACGAGAAGCUUGCUUUUCUGAUGUUAGCGGCGGACGGGUGAGUAACACGUGGAUAACCUACCUAUAAGACUGGGAUAACUUCGGGAAACCGGAGCUAAUACCGGAUAAUAUUUUGAACCGCAUGGUUCAAAAGUGAAAGACGGUCUUGCUGUCACUUAUAGAUGGAUCCGCGCUGCAUUAGCUAGUUGGUAAGGUAACGGCUUACCAAGGCAACGAUGCAUAGCCGACCUGAGAGGGGGAUUGGCCACACUGGAACUGAGACACGGUCCAGACUCCUACGGGAGGCAGCAGUAGGGAAUCUUCCGCAAUGGGCGAAAGCCUGACGGAGCAACGCCGCGUGAGUGAUGAAGGUCUUCGGAUCGUAAAACUCUGUUAUUAGGGAAGAACAUAUGUGUAAGUAACUGUGCACAUCUUGACGGUACCUAAUCAGAAAGCCACGGCUAACUACGUG
rnacentral:rRNA from 1 species